rnacentral:lncRNA from 1 species
GAAAUUUUUCAUAGGUCUUCAGUUUUUGAACUCAGUCUACCAGUUGGAAAAUUGACGAAACAAAUACAGGCAGAGUUACUCGACCAUGUCUACCAGUGCCAAAAAUAAUGUUGUCAAGCUCUUUGACAGACCAAAAGAGCUGGUUAUCAUGCCCAAAGGAAA